UUUUCUUUAGCUUAAAAUAUAGAGCAUCAAUUUGAAGCGUUGAGGGUACUUUUAUUAGUAGGAAGAA
rnacentral:tRNA from 1 species